AACCUUGUACAGUGGCAAUAUCGUAAUCAAUGAAGUUCUACUGUGAUGCGAUUAUUGCUAGUUGAAACUAUUUAAACUAGCCAUGGCUUUCAACCUUCGUUUCUGUAUUGUUCGAAGUAGGUAACUG
rnacentral:snRNA from 13 species